UUAUAAUUGAUGCCAUUUCUAUGAAGAGCAGUGCAAGGAGUGUAAAGGGAAAAUAUUACAAGGGAGGAGGAAGCGAGGACACAUACAGAAAGUGCAAUGAGUACAAUUUGAUCAAAACACAUAACACCACAGUAUAUAUCCAGGAAGGACACACCUCUCUUUCUCCUUUGCCACUCUGCCAUGGGUCCAAGAGAGAUUGUAAUUUACUCAGAUCCUUUUUUUUGUGCCGUAAACAGAAUGUUAUGUACACUUGCUUGUUUUAUAA